rnacentral:lncRNA from 1 species
UCUGCUGGGCAUGGGAGUAUGGGGAAAGGGAAGGGAAAGUGAAAGCCCUCUCUGUUGGAAGGGCAGACCUUCAGUCUUUGAUGCCGGGUCUCUGCCAUCCUCUCCAGGACAAACAGGCUGUCCUCGGGGCUGUGGCUGCCAUGUUGGAUGUUCUCCUGCAAGAGGAGCUGCACCGAGAGCAUGUCUGGGAGCAGCUCCUCUGUCUCGUUCACCCGUGUCAGGAGAUCCAAGACACCUGCAGGGUGGCCAAGAGCCUCACUAUCUUCCUGGAGGCCUUACAGGGCAUUGACUCUGUCAUCCCCAAGGACAAGUUUCAGGACAUCACCAGUGCCGUAUUCUACCAGCUCUAUGACGACACCAAACAGCACAGCGAGGCUGGUCAUGCGGAGCUGACUCAAUGCAUCAUGCUGCAGGCCCGGAUCUGCCCCGAGGAAACAAUCUUGUUUCUGCAGUCACAGCUGGAAGAUGACUGGGAGACUGGAUGCGUGGCAGCCCUGGAUCUGCUAGGUGCUCUGGCUCGCUCUGAUGAGCCCAUGAUGAUGGAGAAGC